ACCACAUGCCCUACAAUCCUCACACGAGCAAUAUUCACUGAGGGAUGCAAGUCAGUUGCAGCUGGGAUGAAUGCAAUGGACUGGAGACAUGGCAUUACCAUGGCAGUUGAUGCAGUUGUAACUAAUUUAAAAAGCAGGGCACGGAUGAUCAGCACAUCAGAGGAGAUUGCACAGGUUGGAACAAUAUCGGCUAAUGGAGAGCGGGAAAUUGGGGAAUUGAUCGCAAAGGCCAUGGAAAAAGUUGGCAAGGAGGGUGUUAUCACAAUCUCCGGUGGGAAAGACAUUAUACAAUGAACUAGAGGUUGUUGAGGGGAUGAAGCUGGAUAGAGGUUACAUGUCCCCUUAUUUCAUCACCAAUCAGAAGAACCAGAAAUGUGAGUUAGAAGAUCCCCUCAUACUCAUCCAUGAGAAGAAAAU